UCCGAUAUGGUGUAGUGGCCAACAUGAUGCCCUCUCAUCCAAGUGAGAGGUUAGGCAUAGCCCCGAGUUCGAUUCUCGGUUUCGGAA